UACGUAGGGUGCGAGCGUUAAUCGGAAUUACUGGGCGUAAAGCGUGCGCAGGCGGUGAUGUAAGACAGAUGUGAAAUCCCCGGGCUCAACCUGGGAACUGCAUUUGUGACUGCAUCGCUGGAGUGCGGCAGAGGGGGAUGGAAUUCCGCGUGUAGCAGUGAAAUGCGUAGAGAUGCGGAGGAACACCGAUGGCGAAGGCAGCCCCCUGGGUCGACACUGACGCUCAGGCACGAAAGCGUGGGGAGCAAACAGG
rnacentral:rRNA from 1 species